UAACGGCGAGUGAAGCGGCAAGAGCUCAAAUUUUAAAUCUGCCUCACCGAGUUGUAAUUUGCAGAGGAAUAUUCGGUGAAGCCUAGGUCCAAGUCUUCUGGAAGGAAGCGCCGAUGAGGGUGAGAGCCCCGUACGACUGACGGUUGAGCCAUGUGAAUAUCCUUCGAAGAGUCGAGUUGUUUGGGAAUGCAGCUCAAAGCGGGUGGUAAAUUCCAUCUAAAGCUAAAUAUUGGCCAGAGACCGAUAGCGCACAAGUAGAGUGAUCGAAAGAUGAAAAGCACUUUGGAAAGAGAGUGAAACAGUACGUGAAAUUGUUGAAAGGGAAGCGCUCGCAAUCAGACUUGAUUGAUCAGUUCAAGGGUUCUUUUGGACCUGGUACUUCUGUUUGAUCAGGCCAACAUCAGUUCGGACGGUCGGAUAAAAUUGCGGGGAACGUGGCUCUUCGGAGUGUUAUAGCCCUGUAAAGAAUACGGCCCGAUCGGACUGAGGACAGCCUUUGUAGGAUGUUGGCGUAAUGGUUGCAAGCGGCCCGUCUUGAAACACGGACCAAGGAGUCUAACAUCUAUGCGAGUGUUUGGGUGAAAAACCCAUGCGCGAAAUGAAAGUGAACGGAGGUGGGAGCUUCGGCGCACCAUCGACCGAUCCUGAUGUCCUCGGAAGGAUUUGAGUAUGAGCAUAGCUGUUGGGACCCGAAAGAUGAUGAACUAUGCGUGAAUAGGGCGAAGCCAGAGGAAACUCUGGUGGAGGCUCGCAGCGGUUCUGACGUGCAAAU
rnacentral:rRNA from 1 species